UGGGGAAUAUUGCACAAUGGGCGCAAGCCUGAUGCAGCCAUGCCGCGUGUGUGAAGAAGGCCUUCGGGUUGUAAAGCACUUUCAGCGGGGAGGAAGGCGUUAAGGUUAAUAACCUUGGCGAUUGACGUUACCCGCAGAAGAAGCACCGGCUAACUCCGUGCCAGCAGCCGCGGUAAUACGGAGGGUGCAAGCGUUAAUCGGAAUUACUGGGCGUAAAGCGCACGCAGGCGGUCUGUCAAGUCGGAUGUGAAAUCCCCGGGCUAAACCUGGGAACUGCAUUCGAAACUGGCAGGCUAGAGUCUUGUAGAGGGGGGUAGAAUUCCAGGUGUAGCGGUGAAAUGCGUAGAGAUCUGGAGGAAUACCGGUGGCGAAGGCGGCCCCCUGGACAAAGACUGACGCUAAGGUGCGAAAGCGUGGGGAGCAAACAGG
rnacentral:rRNA from 1 species